AUGAUCUGAUGUACAUGUCACUGGAGUCCCCAGAACAACAACAGAGGAAAAUGGGGAAGGAGCAAUAUCUGAAAAGGUAGUGGCUGAAAUUUUCAAAAUUGAUAAGCAGUGUCAACUUACAGACAUUAGAAUCUUAGUAAAUCACAAGCAGGAAAAAACUAAAAGCAAACAACUCCAGGGCAUUGUAGUAAAAAAUUCCAAAAACCAAAGGUAAACAGAAACUGUAAAAGUUAUUGAGAUUAAAAAAAAAAAAGAUAAUGCAUUCAGGGAAUAACAAUAGGAAAGAUGGCUAGAUCUCCUCAGAAAACCAUGGAAACCAGAAGAGAAUGACCUCUUUAAAGUACCAAAAUAAAGGAUUUUAACCAACAAUUUAUGUACAAUAAAAUAAAGAUACUUUCAGACAAAGCUAAGAACAUUUGUCACAGCACAAAAAAAUACUAAAGGAGCUCCUCAGGCUUUCCUUCUGCUGACAGAAAAUGACGCCAGAUAGAAACUCGGAAGUGCAUGGAAAAAUGAAGUGCACCAGGAAGGUAAAUACGUUUGUAAAUUAAAAAGAUGAGGACUAUGCAGCAACAGCUCUGGUGGUGCAUGAUGAUGAUAACACGUGUCAACUAAUAUCCACGACAACAAUAGCACCAGGUCUCUGGAGAAGGGUGAGUGAAAUUACACAGUUGGAAAGCUCUUUGUUGUUGUGUAAGAAUUCACAUUUCAGGCUGGGCGCGGUGGCUCACACCUGUAAUCCCAGCACUUUUGUGCAAAGUGGCUCUGCCUGCCUAUGAUUCACUUUAUGGACCAUUAAAUCAUAAAUCAUAAUCAUAAAGCUCCCAUUUUCCACAAAUGUGACUUUUGAAGCUUUGCUCUGCACUUAACGCGUUCAUUAUGUUUUGCAAUGAUAAUUUUUCUGAACGAAGUACUUUCCAAUUGGAUUACUAAAUUCUGUAGAAAAUGAGGUUCCACAGACAGAGCUGGUUUCAUGGGGCUCUUUUCAGGUGCCCAUCCAGCCUGAUGUUUGUGUUUUUCAGACUUGAAGAGGAUGCUUUGUUCAGAACCCACUCCACCUCUCAGGUGCUCAGAGACCAGAGGCCCAUCCUGCUGCAGACACUGGGGCAGAGAUGCUUGAUGAAAAUAAGGGAACGUGGCCGGGCACAGUGGCUCAUACCUGUAAUCCUAACACUUUGGGAGGCUGAGGUGGGAGGAUUGCUUGAGCCCAGGAGUUCAAGGCCAGCCCGAGCAACAUAGUGAGACCCUGUCUCUAUAAAAAGAAAAUAAAAAGAAAAUAAGGGAAUAAAAGUGAGGGGUGGAGGCAGCUCAGGCUGAGUGCACCCCAGGUGGAGUUAGGGAACCUCAUGAGGAGCAAAGACUGGACCGUGCAGAAACGGCCAGGCCCUCAAAGCCCCAACUAGAGCUCAGCCAUCAGCCAUCAGCUGCCUGGGAUCCUGCCCAGGGGGCGUGGGCCCACUUCAUUACCCAGAGCUGAGGGCUCUUUCUUUUGGAAGGAGGUCCCAGGGCGACCCCCCUGCAGGGCCUCCCACCUCUCCCAGAGCACCUCUGCAGCUGGUGAUUUCACUUUACUCUUCCAGGAGACACUUCCCUUGAUGCUGCUGUUGGUAUUUUCCCUUACUUUUGACCUCAGGCACCACAAUUUCCCCAAUGUUGGUCUCAAACACCUCCAGAUAUGAGACACAGCUGGAGAGAUGGUAACAUGAAUCAAACCAAUUAGAACCUGCACGGGUCUCCAGCUGGUGGUGGCCCUAUUAAUUAGCGGCGAGCCUCAUACAUCUGAGCAAUUGCAGGGGAUGAAAGGGCUCAAGCUGGCAGGAGACAACAUGGAAUUCAGAGCACUUCCCCUGACUUAAAGUGUCCAAGCUCGUGAAAGCUCAGACAUAGGGAGAGUGAGGAGAAAUGUCUAGUGCACAUAAUAGUCUUUUCUCAGAAUCAACUUUUGGGGGUCCCCUGGGAGUCCCAACACUACAGCCUCCCUGGCCCCAUGAGGCCACUUGAAAGCUGGCUAAACUUUGGGAAAAGGUUCCAGUUCAGGAUUCACGAAACCUCACGUCCUGAGUGAAGAGGCUGGAUGCAGAGCUCUAGAAAACCCUUCCAGGGAUUCCAAAGGUCGGAGUGCAGGCCCUGGGACCUGGGUAAAG
rnacentral:lncRNA from 1 species